AUUGUACUCCCUCCGUCCGAAAAUACUUGUCAUCAAAAUGGAUAAAAAGGGAUGUAUCUAGAACUAAAAUAUGUCUAGAUACAUCCCCUUUUAUUCAUUUUGAUGACAAGUAUUUCCGGACGGAGGGAGUAGUAG
rnacentral:pre_miRNA from 1 species